UUUCUUCAAUCAGAUCCCCAGAUUCCCCACAAGCUUAAUCUGCCAGAAAAGCACAAAACCCAGGUGGGUUUUUUGUGCUGGAGUUCUGAAAUGGCCAACUGCUUAGAGGAAUUGGAUAAUGCAAUUGCAAAAUUGCAUCAAAACUUUCAGGAAUUGAGGUACCACCUUGAGAAGUCGUUCUUAGAGCAGGGCAGGGCCCUGUUGAAAUUUGAAGCUCAGUGGAAAGAUCUUAAGAAAAAUCACAGCAGAGAAAACGAGCA